UCGCGGGAUGGAGCAGUCUGGUAGCUCGUCGGGCUCAUAACCCGAAGGUCGUUGGUUCAAAUCCAGCUCCCGCAA
rnacentral:tRNA from 2 species